rnacentral:rRNA from 1 species
CACGUAGGGGACGAGCGUUGUCCGGAUUCAUUGGGCGUAAAGCGCGCGUAGGCGGCUCGGAAAGUCGGGCGUGAAAUGCCGGGGCUCAACCCCGGGACUGCGUCCGAUACUUCCGAGCUGGAGGUAGGUAGGGGGAGAUCGGAAUUCCUGGUGUAGCGGUGAAAUGCGCAGAUAUCAGGAGGAACACCGGUGGCGAAGGCGGGAUCUCUGGGCCGUACCUGACGCUGGAGACGAGAAGCUGGGGAGCGA